rnacentral:lncRNA from 1 species
GGCCUCUGCAUGUGACCCCACUAUGAGCAAGUGGAAGUAGUUGAAGCACAAAGGAUAAAGAGCACAUAGGCUAAUAAGAGGAAUGGAUAUUUAUGAGAUGUUAUGUGGCCAGUGAAAAGAGAUCCUGCAAUAGCCAACUUUCCCUUGGCCCCCAUCUCCACUCCAUGAGGUCUCAAAGACAUAGAUACAAAGGCCAGGAAAAGCAACGUCAACUAUUAAAAAAAAAAACAAACCUUUUCAGUGGAUCUCUUUGUGGGUCAGGAGAAAAAUCCAGCUUAUCUCCUCUGUUCCUUGUUCACACUAAAACAGAACGACACAGAUAUCAGUUACCAGGCCAACACUACCUGUGUCUUCAUGGUUGAAGAAGAUCUUGCAGGCUGCUUGAAAUGUGCUGAACAGGUCAGAUAAGUCUUAGUUUAACCUCAUUACUCUUGCUCUCCUCCAUCUUUGAGAGCAAAAAUAUGUAUGUGUUCAUUAAUAAAGCUUCU